rnacentral:siRNA from 1 species
AGGGGAUGUAGCUCAGAUGGU